rnacentral:rRNA from 1 species
UACGUAGGGUGCAAGCGUUUAAUCGGAAUUACUGGGCGUAAAGCGUGCGCAGGCGGUUAUAUAAGACAGUUGUGAAAUCCCCGGGCUCAACCUGGGAACUGCAUCUGUGACUGUAUAGCUAGAGUACGGUAGAGGGGGAUGGAAUUCCGCGUGUAGCAGUGAAAUGCGUAGAUAUGCGGAGGAACACCGAUGGCGAAGGCAAUCCCCUGGACCUGUACUGACGCUCAUGCACGAAAGCGUGGGGAGCAAACAGG